AAGUAGAUUGGGAAACUCAUCAAAUUUUAUGAAAUACCGAGAAAAGCUUUGCGUUCCAAUGGCGGGCCACACUUCGAGAGAAGAUGCUUAGCACGGUGGAUUACAAAGGGGCGGAGGCACUCAAAUCCUGUUUUUCGGAGUUUCAUCGCAUUCUUCGGUGUGACCCUU
rnacentral:sRNA from 1 species